rnacentral:misc_RNA from 1 species
AUGCUGUUGCUGCUGCAGUAGCUGUGGAAGUUGCUGCUGCUGCUGUAGCUGUGGAAGUUGUUGCUGUUGCAGCUGUGGAAGCUGUUGCUGCUGUAGCUGUGGAUGCUGCUGCGGUGGCAUCUGCUGGUGAUGCUGCUGCUGCAUUUGUUGCUGCUGACUGGAUAUUUGAGGCUUAAACACAACCAUAUCCAGGUUCCCCGGAAAGAGCAUCCCUAUCAAGCGGCAGGCUUUGUCUGAAACAGAAAGCAGUAAUGUCUGUGAUGGCAAUUGGAUGACUGCACAAAGCUUCUUUUCUUGCAGUUGUCCAAGAAACCCAUGCUGAUUCAUUGCCCGAAAUACUAGAAAAUCAGCCUUUCCAACAUACUGCCUAUAUAAAUAAAAGAAUAUCAGAAUGGAUCAGAAAUACAACAAAUCUAGAUUGACACAAUUGAAUAAAGAAAUGCAAGACAGACAGGAAUACAGUGAUUACUUGUUGUUCAUGUGGUCCUGAGAUAUA